AGAGUUUGAUCCUGGCUCAGAACGAACGCUGGCGGCGUGCUUAACACAUGCAAGUCGAACGCGAAAGAGUUCUUCGGAACUUGAGUAGAGUGGCGCACGGGUGAGUAACGCGUAAGUGAUCUACCCCUGUAUCUGGAAUAACUAUGGGAAACUGUAGCUAAUACCGGAUACGUUCAUGUGAUUGCGAUUAUGUGAAGAAAGAUGGCCUCUGACAUAAGCUAUCGUACAGGGAGGAGCUUGCGUACCAUUAGCUAGUUGGCAGGGUAAAGGCCUACCAAGGCGACGAUGGUUAGCGGGUCUGAGAGGAUGAUCCGCCACACUGGAACUGAAACACGGACCAGACUCCUACGGGAGGCAGCAGUGAGGAAUAUUGCGCAAUGGGGGCAACCCUGACGCAGCGACGCCGCGUGGAUGAUGAAGGCCUUCGGGUCGUAAAAU
rnacentral:rRNA from 1 species